AGCGAGACCUUCGGGUCUAGCGGCGGACGGGUUAGUAACGCGUGGGAACGUGCCCUUUACUACGGAAUAGUCCCGGGAAACUGGGUUUAAUACCGUAUACGCCCUUCGGGGGAAAGAUUUAUCGGUGAAGGAUCGGCCCGCGUUAGAUUAGAUAGUUGGUGGGGUAAUGGCCUACCAAGUCUACGAUCUAUAGCUGGUUUGAGAGGAUGAUCAGCAACACUGGGACUGAGACACGGCCCAGACUCCUACGGGAGGCAGCAGUGGGGAAUCUUAGACAAUGGGCGCAAGCCUGAUCUAGCCAUGCCGCGUGAGUGACGAAGGCCUUAGGGUCGUAAAGCUCUUUCGCCAGGGAUGAUAAUGACAGUACCUGGUAAAGAAACCCCGGCUAACUCCGUGCCAGCAGCCGCGGUAAUACGGAGGGGGUUAGCGUUGUUCGGAAUUACUGGGCGUAAAGCGCACGUAGGCGGACUGGAAAGUUGGGGGUGAAAUCCCGGGGCUCAACCUCGGAACUGCCUCCAAAACUACUAGUCUAGAGUUCGAGAGAGGUGAGUGGAAUUCCGAGUGUAGAGGUGAAAUUCGUAGAUAUUCGGAGGAACACCAGUGGCGAAGGCGGC
rnacentral:rRNA from 1 species